CACGUAGGGCGCGAGCGUUGUCCGGAAUUAUUGGGCGUAAAGAGCUCGUAGGCGGCCUGUUGCGUCCGCUGUGAAAGCCCGGGGCUUAACCCCGGGUCUGCAGUGGAUACGGGCAGGCUAGAGGUAGGUAGGGGAGAAUGGAAUUCCCGGUGUAGCGGUGAAAUGCGCAGAUAUCGGGAGGAACACCGGUGGCGAAGGCGGCGAUCUGGGUCGAUACUGACGCUGAGGUGCGAAAGCGUGGGGAGCAAACAGG
rnacentral:rRNA from 1 species